GUGCUUCUCACUUUUAGGGUGGGUGCUCCCACCUCAGUGAAUCUAAUCAGUCUGCUCUCUCACAGGCAGGGCCAGAGACAACCUGAAUCUGGACUACCCCUCACAGACAUGCCCAGAACCUUGUCUCCCAGGGCCACCACCCCAGCCUUCCAUCUGGGCAGUUCCAGGAGCUGUGAUUUCCACAGGCAGUGCUGUGACCAUCUUCUGCAGGACUCCUCCAGGAGUGAAUACUGUGCGUCUAACCCAUUUUGUACCGGAUGGAAAGUGGUUUGAUCGUACUCCACAGGGAGCCCAGGAGGUGUUUGAAUUCAGUCUGCAGAAUAUGACACAAGGCAGUGCUGGGGUUUACUACUGUGAAUACUCCAAGGGAGGCGACACACCACAAAUUAGUGACAAACUGGAGCUGGUGGUGACAGGUGUUUAUAAGGAGAAGCCAUCUCUUACUGUUGAUUCAGGACCUCAGGGAUCCUCAGAAAUCAAUGCAACUCUCCACUGCCACAUACAUGUUUCCUUUAAUAUCUUCAUCCUCUGCAGAGAUGGAAAUGCUUCCUUUCCCCAGAACUGCUCACGGCAGGACCACAACACAUUCCUCAUCUCCCCUGUGAGCCCAGGGCAUAGGAGGAUCUACAGAUGCUUUGGCUCUAAGAAACACAAUUCCUACUUGUGGUCACUGCCUAGUGAUCCACUUGAGUUUUCAAUCCCAGGUAAAUCCAUCUGGUUCUUGUUCCUUAUCUCUGUGCUUAGA